rnacentral:lncRNA from 1 species
AGGGACAGUGGGGACAUGGGGAGGGGACAGUUUGGGAUGGGGACAUGGGAUGGGGACAAGGGACAGGAUGGGAACAGGAUGGGGAGGUGGGAAUUGGGGACAAGGGACAGUGGGGACAUGGGGAGGGGACAGGAGGGGGACAAGGGACAAUGGGAUGGGGACAAGGGGCAGCAUGGGGACGUGGGAGGGGACAGUUUGGGAUGGGGACAAGGGACAGGAUGGGAAUGGGGUGGGGAGGUGGGGACAAGGGACAGUGUGGGGGCAUGGGGAGGGGACAGUUUGGGAUGGGGACAUGGGAUGUGGGGACAGGAGAUGUGGGAUGGGGACAAGGGACGGGAUGGGAAUGGGAUGGGGAGAUGGGAACUGGGGACAAGGGACAGUGGGGACAUGGGGAGGGGACAGGAGGGGGACAAGGGACAAUGGGAUGGGGACAAGGGGCAGCGUGGGGACAUGGGAUGGGGACAUGGGAUGUGGGGACAGGGGACGUGGGAUGGGGACAAGAGACAGGAUGGGAAAGGGGCGGGGAGGUGGAACUGGGGACAAGGGACAGUGGGGACAUGGGAGGGGACAGUUUGGGAUGGGGACAUGGGAUGGGGACAUGGGACAGGAUGGGAACGGGGUGGGGAGAUGGGAACUGGGGACAAGGGACAGUGGGGACAGGGGAGGGGACAGGAGGGGGACAAGGGACAAUGGGAUGGGGACAAGGGACGGGAAUGGGGUGGGGGCAGCGUGGGAAGGGGGGGGCCCGUACUGGUGGCGUGGUUGGGGACGGUGACGGAGAUGGCGGCGGGGUCACGGCUGAGGCUGUUGGCGAUCAUCCGGCCGGCGGCUGCGGGAGUAAUUAGCAGGAGGUUCGUUAAUUAGGGCUCGGUGUCGGGAGGGAUGGGGA